rnacentral:rRNA from 1 species
CCUACGGGUGGCAGCAGUGGGGAAUAUUGCACAAUGGGGGAAACCCUGAUGCAGCGACGCCGCGUGAGUGAAGAAGUAUUUCGGUACGUAAAGCUCUAUCAGCAGGGAAGAAAGUGACGGUACCUGACUAAGAAGCCCCGGCUAACUACGUGCCAGCAGCCGCGGUAAUACGUCGGGGGCAAGCGUUAUCCGGAUUUACUGGGUGUAAAGGGAGCGUAGACGGUGGCGCAAGUCUGGAGGGAAAGCCCAUGGCUUAACCAUGGAAGAGCGUUGGAAACUGUGCAGCUAGAGUGCAGGAGAGGGAAGUGGAAUGCCUGGUGUAGCGGUGAAAUGCGUAGAUAUUAGGAGGAACACCAGUGGCGAAGGCGGCUUACUGGCCUGUAACUGACGCUGAGGCUCGAAAGCGUGGGGAGCAAACAGGAUUAGAUACCCUUGUAGUC